rnacentral:rRNA from 1 species
UACGGGGGGUGCAAGCGUUGUCCGGAAUCACUGGGCGUAAAGGGCGCGUAGGUGGCGUCGUAAGUCUGUGGUGAAAGCCCGGAGCUCAACUCCGGGUCUGCCGCGGAUACUGCGAGGCUUGAGUGCUGUAGAGGGGGGUAGAAUGCCGGGUGUAGCGGUGGAAUGCGUAGAGAUCGGGAGGAACAUCAGUGGCGAAGGCGGCCAUCUGGAUCAACACUGACGCUGAAGCACGAAAGCGUGGGGAGCAAACAGG